rnacentral:misc_RNA from 1 species
GGAUCCUGAAAAAGUGCGAAUGGAAAGGGAGGAACUUGAAAGACAACAAAGAGAAGAAAAAGCCCGGUUGCAAGCAGAGGCAAAAGCUGCAGAGGAUGCUCGCAGGAAGGCUGAAGCUGAAGCUGCGGCCGAAGCUAAGAAGAAAAGAGAGUUGGAUAGAGAAGCUGCACGUCAGGCCUUACUUAAGAUGGAGAAGACUGUUGAUAUUAAUGAGAACAGUCAAUUCAUGGAGGAUCUGGAGAUGCUUAGGGCUUCCAACGAUGAGCA